GGAGGACUACUUGAGCCCAGGAGUUAAGAGGUUCCAGUGAGCUAUGAUAGUGCCACUGCACUCCCACCUGGGUGACAGAGCGAGACCCUGUGUCUAAAAAAGUAAAAUGAAAUGAAAUAACAACAAAGCAACAAAUGGAUGUUAGAUUUUAGCCAAUAUUCUGUCUAUUGUGGGUGGGUUUUCCCCUGUCAUCUAUAUUCUUCUCACUCUUCCCAGUUGAGGGUGCUGGGUGCUGGAGGGACCGCAGGGGGAAGUGGCUCUCUUGCUGUUUCUGUUCUGGACGGGGAUGGUCAGCAUGGGUGAUGGUACUUUCAGUGCACAUGAUUUUUCUACAGCCUGGCUGCGCUGGGGAUAACAUUUCCAUAGUCUUCUUUAUUUUUUUCUGAGACAGGGUCUUGCUCUAUUACCCCGGUUGGAGUUAGUGGCAUGAUCAUGGCUCACUGAAGCCUCGACCUCCUGGGCUCAAGUGAGCCUCCCACCUCAGCCCCCAGAGUAGCUGGGACCACUGGUGCACACCACCACGCUCGUCUAAAGAAUAGUUUUUGUAGAGAUGGGGUCUCACUAUAUUGCCGAGGCUGGUCUGGAACACCUGGGCUCAAGCGAUCCUUCUGCCUAGGGCUCCCAGCGUGUUGGAAUUUCAGGCAUGAACCACUGCCCAGCCUCCAUAGUCUUCUUGACACAGAAACCAAGCCUCAUGCAGCCCACAUGCUCUAAAGGGC
rnacentral:lncRNA from 10 species